GCGAAAACUUACCUGGGUUUGAAUGUAGUGGUAAGCCUCAGAGAUGAGGUCCCCUCUUCGGAGGCCGCUACAUAGGUGCUGCAUGGCUGUCGUCAGCUCGUGUCGUGAGAUGUUGGGUUAAGUCCCGCAACGAGCGCAACCCUUGUCCAUAGUUGCUAACGCGUAGUGGCGAGAACUCUAUGGAGACUGCCGGUGAUAAACCGGAGGAAGGUGGGGAUGACGUCAAGUCCUCAUGGCCUUUAUGUCCAGGGCUACACACGUGCUACAAUGGACGGUACAAAGAGUUGCAAAACCGCAAGGUGGAGCUAAUCUCAAAAAGCCGUUCUCAGUUCGGAUUGUUCUCUGCAACUCGAGAGCAUGAAGCUGGAAUCGCUAGUAAUCGCGGAUCAGAACGCCGCGGUGAAUACGUUCCCGGGUCUUGUACACACCG
rnacentral:rRNA from 1 species